AAUUCAUGAGUUUAGUAGCAUGCAGGUGUGUAUUAGGUCUCAUCUGGGGAUUAAUCUGCAAUGAAUAAUCUCGUAAUUGCUCUUGGAAACACAGUAUAUCUGUGUGAUGCUUCUAAUGGUGCUACAUCUUAAUUAGUUACACUUGACAAGGAACUUGGUCCGUUGACAAGUGUUAAAUGGGCUCCAGAUGGGUGCCACAUUGCUGUUGGUAUGAACAACUCUAAGGUUCAGCUUUGGGUCUGCCAAUCAACAGGAUCAAUCUGCACCUAAGGACAUUGAGAGGAUGCCACAGCUGCCGAGUAGGUGCAUUAGAUUUUGGAAGACUCACACUGGUGCUUGCUUGAAUACAGUUCACACAGGCUGUCUAUUCACUUAUGUGCAAUAACAAUGAGCGUGAGCUGCUUAAUUCUCAUGGUUUUACCUAGAAUCAACUUACUCUUUGGAAGUAGCCGUGUGUUUAAUUUGUUUCGGUUUAUGGGAUGUGCUCUCUAACAUUUGUUUGUAUAUUUUCCCCCCUUCUUAAAAUUAUACAAGAUGUUGCACUAUUUUACUAAAAGAAUAAUUAAAUUGAAAUAUAAUUAAAUGUUUGAUUCA